rnacentral:rRNA from 1 species
AUGUUCACCUCCGACCGCCUCAAUGAACUUCACAUCAAAGACCACGUACCCGUCAUCCUCGACCUCGACUCGCCAUCCUACAACGCAUGGCGCACCUACUUCGCGCUGCUCUUCCACUCUUACCGUCUCAUCGAGCAUGUUGACGGGAGCGUCGACUUCCACGACAUGAAGGACGACGACGAGUGGCUUGCUGUGGACGCCUGCAUCGUCAAGUGGCUCUUCCUCACCAUCUCCGGCGGCCUCUUCAACAUGGUGAACUCCCGCGACCCGUCGGCGUACGCUAUGUGGACGCGGCUGUGUGACCUCUUCCCCGACAAUCAACUCCAACGCCGCGUCUUCCUUCAAGGGGAGUUCUUCACUAUGCAGCAAAACGAUCUUUCGAUCGAUGAGUAUUGCACGCGGCUGAAGGUUCUUGCCGACGAGCUGCGCGAUGUCGGCAUGAACAUCGACGACUCUGUCCUCCUCACCAACCUCCUUCGCGGCCUCCACCCCGACCUUGGCCAGUCCGCCGCCAACCUCUCCCUCGUCAUGCCGACGUACGCGAAGACAGUCACGUACCUUUGCAUGGAGGAGAAGCGCCUCCAUCACUCCGCCCGGCAGGUGACCCACGCCACACUUCACGUCGGCCUCGCCGCUGGCCACAGCGCUCUUUCAGCCCCGCCAGCGCCGCGCGCGCCUACUCCCACCCCACAACCCGCGCCCGCGCCCUCUGGUGGCCGCAAGCAGAAGGGUGGCGGGGGUCGGGGCUGCAACGCCAACACGGCGCAGCGCCCUCCCGCGACCAACGCGGCUGCUCCCCCUCUGCCGUGGCUCUCGGGGUACAAUCCUUUCUACACAUAG